AUGAAAGACUUGCUGUUGUUGGAAUCUCCAUUCCAAAUGUUCCCGGUCCCCGCCCCCUUUGUGACGUCAUACAAAGGCUUGGCUAAUACUGCAAAGUUUGGGCUCCCCAGUCUACAAAACCCCGCAGCUCCUAGGAAUUCUCUCACCAGCCUUCUGCACUUAGGCUCCGGUAGAUUGCAAAUGACCUGCUUUCUUUGGGAUCCCGGGCUGCUUUCGGACACCUGUCGAAUAGUAAAUCCCAAAGACCAAGAGGUUGAUGUGACUCCCAAUAUCGGAGGAAGUAUACACCCCCAUGUGAGAUGGUCCUUAAUAAUAUUCCACGGCGGAGGGGGUGAUAUGACUACAUACAUGGCAGAAAGUGGAAACCCCCCAGGGAUAUUAUUCCCACGAUCCUGGAGGGAAGAAGAUGAUGUUACUUUCAAUAUGAGAGAAGGUGGAUGAAGUGGUGGACUGCCCCUCCACACCUGUGGACACAGCACCCACUGAUAUUCCUUCAUUGCAACGUGGAAGAGGAGGAUAUGACAAUGCGAUAUCGCAGGGAGUAUGAAACACCCCAUGUGAUACUGUUCUUCAAUAUUCAGCCGGAGAGAGAUAUAUUACCCAAUACAGACGGGUGUACACCGUCUGUGAAAGAGUUCGUAAUCUCCAGAGGGCGCGAGAUGAUUGUUACUCACAAUAUGGUAAAGAAGGCUGUGAGAUCGACCAAGUGAGUCCCAGA
rnacentral:lncRNA from 1 species